UUCCAUAGAAUAGAUCCAGAAGAAACACAACAAUACUGCCUUCAUCAUAUCAGGAGAUCUUGAUACCAAAUACGAGUGUUGCCUCCAAGAUGCAAGAUCCUGAGGGCUCCAAAGAAUCCACUGUCCGUCACAAAUCGACGGUCCGCCAGCUCAGUUUCAGAGACGUGGUGCUCCGCUGCAGGCCUCAUCCUCAGGUGCACCCUGGCAGUCAGCCAUCUGAAGGUACUAUGGAAAUUCAGUUACUCACUCUUGGGAGCAGAAGGAUUCCAGACCAUUCCUGUGUGCACCCUGGCAGGGAGCCAUCUGAAGGGCUCUCCUGAUGGUCUCCUUUACCUUCCUUCACCACCAAGGAGGGUGGCCCAGCAGCAGCUCAGCCUGUGCUCUCACCCACCUCCUCUGCACACACCAGUCCUCGUCCUCAGCACCCAAGGCUGCCAGAGGUCCUUCAGCAGCUCCCGUGGCUGACAGUGACUCUACGUUUCCUAGAUUUCAGGGACCACCUGGAGGGGAGCGGACCAGAGAGACUUCCUCGGAAUAGGCUGUGGCUCUUCACAAGGUGUCUUCUAUGCUUUAUUUGGGAGCCAUUGCCUUGAGCGUUAUUUCCCAGAUGGUUUUCUAAUGUCACCAACUGAAGAAAAGACCCAUGCACACAGGACACAGCAUGAUCUGAUGCUCACAGCGUUUUCCUUCCUCUCUGAAAACGGACUCAGCGAUUCUGGCAAGCGGUACUUACUCUGAGAUCACCCGUUUGCUAAGGAAAAAUCUUAGUACUGAGAAAGGUGACACUUUCCUCCCUGCUUUUGCUGGAGAGACACUUUGGUUAUGAGUUAUUUCUAGCAUAACACAGUUUAUUUCAGAAGUCCAGCUCAAUAGCAGACCAAGGCAUGAACAACACAUGAAAAUUUAUGUUGGGAAAAUAUAUAUUGUAUGUCUGCU
ensembl:lncRNA LINC01120 long intergenic non-protein coding RNA 1120